AACGAACGCUGGCGGCAGGCCUAACACAUGCAAGUCGAACGCACCGCAAGGUGAGUGGCGCACGGGUGAGUAACACGUGGGAAUGUACCCUUUGGUUCGGUAUAACGUUUGGAAACGAACGCUAAUACCGGAUGAGCCCUACGGGGGAAAGAUUUACCGCCAAAGGAGAAGCCCGCGUCUGAUUAGCUAGUUGGUGGGGUAAAGGCCUACCAAGGCGACGAUCAGUAGCUGGUCUGAGAGGAUGAUCAGCCACACUGGGACUGAGACACGGCCCAGAUUCCUACGGGAGGCAGCAGUGGGGAAUAUUGGACAAUGGGCGGAAGCUUGAUCCAGCCAUGCCGCGUGAGUGAUGAAGGCCUUCGGGUUGUAAAGCUCUUUCGCACACGACGAUGAUGACAGUAGUGUGAGAAGAAGCCCCGGCUAACUUCGUGCCAGCAGCCGCCGUAACAC
rnacentral:rRNA from 1 species